AUUUUCUCAAAAAUCAAUCAAAAAAAGAUUUACAAAACAGAAAUGUUUAAGAUCUCCAAAGUAGGUUUAAUUAUGCUAUAAAUACUUGGUUAGGGCUCCUUUUGCAAUUACUGUCUGUGGUACUGCAGGUUGCUUUGAUGGGGCCUUCAGCUCCUCUGUAUAGUUUUGCAGAUGUUACUUAUCUACCUCUUCACAAUACCCCAUGGAUUCUCUGUGAGGUUCAGGUCAGGUGAGUUGGCUGGCCAAUCAAGCACAAUAAUAUCAUGGUCAGCAAAUCACUUGAAAGUGGUUUUGGCACUGUGGGUAGGUUGUGAGGGUUUUGCACUUUGUUUUAUGUUUUGUUUCUUGUGUCUAGUAUCAGCACAUGGCUUUGUUAACUGUUUUCUCGGCCACAUGCUCCUUUAGCCCCUCCUCCUUGUUUCCUGUUUACCACACCCCCCUCAUCAGCCUGCUUUGUCCUGUCUAGUUUUGUGUUCGAGUUCCUGACCUGUCCCCGUGUGUCCUGCCCUGGUUCUACCUACCUGGCACUUGGUCUGUUUCAGAGUCAGUGGUUAAGUGUCUGAGAUCUGCUCUACGGUGCCUUGUGUGGUCUUCUCCAUCAGCCUGGUCUUCCUGCCCCCUCUGUUGCCAAGUAUUCUGCCAGUUGUUUCCUGAAGCUUUCCCAGUGGCCUCCCCUAAGCUGUUCCUGUUAACUGUUAUCCUGUUGUGUUAUCUAUUGUUCACUUCACUACCCUCUUGUAUCAGUCUGUUUUGUCAAUAAAACCUUAUUACCUCCCAAUGAAAUUGGGUCCUCCCUCCUAGAUCCCUGACAUAGGUGCUAA